UGGGGAAUCUUGCGCAAUGGGCGAAAGCCUGACGCAGCGACGCCGCGUGGGUGAUGAAGGCCUUCGGGUUGUAAAGCCCUGUGGGGAGGGACGAAUAACGCCGACCUAAUACGUCGGUGGAUGACGGUACCUCCUUAGCAAGCACCGGCUAACUCUGUGCCAGCAGCCGCGGUAAGACAGAGGGUGCAAACGUUGUUCGGAAUUACUGGGCGUAAAGCGCGUGUAGGCGGUCAUGCAAGUCGGGUGUGAAAGCCCGGGGCUCAACCCCGGAAGUGCAUUCGAUACUGCGUGGCUAGAGUACUGGAGAGGAUGGUGGAACUCUCGGUGUAGAGGUGAAAUUCGUAGAUAUCGAGAAGAACACCGGUGGCGAAGGCGGCCAUCUGGACAGAUACUGACGCUGAGACGCGAAAGCGUGGGGAGCAAA
rnacentral:rRNA from 1 species